UACAUGGGGUGCAAACGUUGCUCGGAAUUAUUGGGCGUAAAGCGCGCGUAGGCGGUUACUCAAGUCGGAUGUGAAAGCCCUCGGCUUAACUGAGGAAGUGCACCCGAAACUGAGUAGCUAGAGUACUAAAGAGGGUCGCGGAAUUCCCGGUGUAGAGGUGAAAUUCGUAGAUAUCGGGAGGAACACCGGUGGCGAAGGCGGCGACCUGGGUAGAUACUGACGCUGAGGAGCGAAAGCGUGGGUAGCAAACAGG
rnacentral:rRNA from 1 species